ACGACAGUGGACAGAUUUGGCUGCUUGCAACCACUCGAAAAAAUGCUAAAACGACGGCG
rfam:Prevotella sp. CAG:755 genomic scaffold, scf165